CAGCAUGGACUUCAUUGAGAAUGUCAUGAAGUGUAUCCUGAACACCAUGAGUACAGAUGAUCUGCUGAGGCUACUAACUCAUAAUAAAGUCUGGAAGACCUUUGUGGAAGAAGCUGGAUUGUCUAGGGAUGAAGCAAAGGAGCUGCAUGAUUAUUUAAAGAAGUUAACAGCAAACAGGACAACAGAGAACAAAAAAAAAAGACUCCAGGAAGACACCUUGGCUAGGAAGAAGUUUUUGGAAAUGUUUCCUAAGGUAAAAGCGGACAUUGAGUCAUGUACCUGGAGACUUCGUGCCAUUGCCAAUAAGGUUCACAAGGUGCACAAAGACUGCACCGUCUCCAGUGUGGUGACCAGCUCUGUUGGUGCUGUCUCUGGAGUCAUGAACAUCCUUGGCCUGAGUCUAGCACCAUUCACAGCAGGGGGCAGUCUACUGCUCUCAGCCGCUGGGAAAGGUCUGGGAGUGGUGACUUGUGCAGUUAGUGUUACCACCUCCAUCAUAGAAGAGUCAAACAUAUGCUCAGCUGAAGCUAAAGCCAGCCACAUCCUGUCAACCAGUGAGGACAACGUGAAGAAAUUGCUAGUGGCUGUGGAUAAGAUUGCACCUGAAUUUAUUAGAAAUUGUAGGAAAUUCAUCAAGAACAUUAAAGACAUGGUGGAGAACAUUCAUUCUCUCAGGAGAGCCCUAGCCAACCCUCUCUUGGUGUGCGAUGCCAUCCGCUUCAUAACCACUGGGGGACUCUCUGCCCAAAGGGCUCAGUUGGUGCAGAGAGCACUUCAAGGCACUGCCCUGUCCAUGACCAGAAGAGCUCGGAUCCUGGGUGUGGUCCAAGGAGGUUUCUUCCUUGGGAUGGAUGUGUACUACAUUGUGAAAGACUCAAAGCAUUUACGUAAUGGGGCAAGGGCACCGCUAGCUGAAGAACUGCAGCAAAAAGCUCAGGAGCUGGAGAAGAUGUUGGAGGAGCUCAUCCAGAUCCACAGGACUUUGUAGUUAGGUCUGACUCAGUGACCCUUCCCCCAAACAAUGCACAGGUCAGGGUACGUGCUCUGGACAGAGGUAUGGACAGAUGCACACAUUAUAAUGGCAGGAGGAAAAGGAUGAGAUCAAGGCUAUGCAACUGGGCAUGAAGGAGUUUGGUGUUUUUUGUGAGUGACCACGGCAAGAGAGAGGUUAAUGCAGAUUACAUUUUGGUUAAAGAGAAGGCAAGAUGCAAGAAGAGUUCAAGAAAUGAAAGUCAGUAUACAUAGUGCACCACAUAAAUAGGAGCAAGGAUAAAAAUCAGAUCAUCUCGAUUCAUGCAGAAAAAGCCUUCACAAAAUUCAACAUCCACUUAUGACAAAAGCCCUGAAGGAACUACAGAUUGCAGGAUUAUACCUCAAUCUAAUAUAGUCUAUUUACCACAAAUCCAUAUAAACAUCAUCCUGAAUGGAGAAAAACUGAAAGAACUUACUCUAAAAUCAGGAACCAGGUGAAGAUGUCCACUUGCUCCACUGCUAUUAAAUGUAGGGCUUGAAAUUUUAGAUAGCAACUACUCAAGAGAAAGAAAAACAACAUAAAUAAGAAAAGGAGAAGUUAAGUUAUUCAUAUUUAUAGAUGCUAUGAAUCUAUAUUUAGAAGAUUCUGAAGACUCUCUUAAAAGACUUCUACAUUUGAAAAACAAGUUCAACAAGGCAGCAGGGCACACUAACAACUUGAAAAAAUCAAACACAUAUCUAAACAACAGUAAUGAGCUAGAUGACAAGCAAAUCAGGAAAGCAAUUGCAUUCACAGCACCACCCCAAAAAAUUAAAAUAGAAAUGAAAUUUAAUGCUAGGAAUCAGCUUAAUCAACAUGAAAGUCUUCUACAAUGAAAGUUAGUAAACACUGAAGAAAAAAAGAAAGAUGACACUAAAAGUUAGAAUGACCUCCCCUGUAUUCCUUGGAAUCAAGUCCAUUGCUCAGUUUUUUGCCAGCCCUGGAAACCAAAUUGUGCCAUUGGUAGUCAUGGUGAAGAAUAAAGCAUGGUGAGAAGACUGGAAGCCAAGAGCUUCCAGCAGGCCUGGGGCCCAUGGAAAGAAAAGGCUAGCAACUCCUAAGGGUAACCUCUCCUUUGUUUAAUAAAUGUGCAAGCUUGUGUUCAGAGGUGCAACUGGGGCCAUUUCCCCUGAGAGACCACUUCCCCUGAGACAUGGAGAGAUUAUUUCUAGAGAGCCAGGCCAAAUGCUUGAGCAAGAAGUUCAGGAGCCAGAUCGUGGGUGAAGUCAUUACAGCUUCCCUCCAUCAGGCCCUUCUACCGUGUGGUUUCUGCCUUGGAGCCAGCCAGCCGUGGACUGAACCCCUAAAACCAUGAGACAAAAGAAAUCUCUCCAACUGUGUGUUGAAUGCGUUGGGUAUUUUUCCAAUUAUCAGAAAAAUGAUUAAUAUAGAGGAUAAGAUAAAGUCUAUGCAAAUGAGUGUUAAGGAGUUUGAAUUUUUUGUGGUUGAACAGUGCAUAGAAGAUGCUUUUUAAAAGGAAGGUGUUAAUGCAGAUAGCAAGUGGGUCAAGUCAGUCAAGAAUCUGAAGUCUAUCUGGAGAAUCUAGAGAAAUUAGUGAUAAGAAGGGAGUAGAGAGUGUGGGGAAUAGGAAGAAAGUGUAUAUUUUGGACUAAAUAUACUUUGGCAGCAUGAAUAGAGACAAAUGUAGGAACAAACAAUGGGAAGAUCAGGAACACAAUAGAGUUGAAAAUGGAAGGAAGUAGAGUUAUACUUGCUGAAAUACAGAAGAAAGAGGAGUGUAAAAGGGGACCUAGAGAUUGAGGAAGGGUGGAGGGAGGGUGGCGGGAAGGGCAAUAAAAGAAUUAAGAUGUUUAAUGUACACGUGCUAACUCUGUAUGGUGAACAUACUUAUGUACUGCAAAACACUACUAAAAUGUAAAAAUA